AAAACUUUCAACAACGGAUCUCUUGGCUCUGGCAUCGACGAAGAGCGCAGCGAAAUGCGAUAAGUAAUGUGAAUUGCAGAAUUCAGUGAAUCAUCGAAUCUUUGAACGCACAUUGCGCCCGCCAGUAUUCUGGCGGGCAUGCCCGUUCGAGCGUCAUUACAACCCUCAGGCCCCCGGGCCUGGCGUUGGGGAUCGGCGGAAGCCCCCUGCGGGCACAACGCCGUCCCCCAAAUACAGUGGCGGUCCCGCCGCAGCUUCCAUUGCGUAGUAGCUAACACCUCGCAACUGGAGAGCGGCGCGGCCACGCCGUAAAACACCCAACUUCUGAAUGUUGACCUCGAAUCAGGUAGGAAUACCCGCUGAACUUAAGCAUAUCAAUAAGCGGAGGAAAAGAAACCAACAGGGAUUGCCCCAGUAACGGCGAGUGAAGCGGCAACAGCUCAAAUUUGAAAUCUGGCUCUCGGGCCCGAGUUGUAAUUUGUAGAGGAUGCUUUUGGUGAGGUGCCUUCCGAGUUCCCUGGAACGGGACGCCAUAGAGGGUGAGAGCCCCGUCUGGUUGGACACCGAUCCUCUGUAAAGCUCCUUCGACGAGUCGAGUAGUUUGGGAAUGCUGCUCUAAAUGGGAGGUAUAUGUCUUCUAAAGCUAAAUACCGGCCAGAGACCGAUAGCGCACAAGUAGAGUGAUCGAAAGAUGAAAAGAACUUUGAAAAGAGAGUUAAAAAGUACGCGAAAUUGUUGAAAGGGAAGCGCUUGUGACCAGACUUGGGCUUGGUUGAUCAUCCGGGGUUCUCCCCGGUGCACUCUUCCGGCUCAGGCCAGCAUCAGUUCGCCCUGGGGGAUAAAGGCUUCGGGAAUGUGGCUCUCUCCGGGGAGUGUUAUAGCCCGCUGCGUAAUACCCUGUGGCGGACUGAGGUUCGCGCAUUCGCAAGGAUGCUGGCGUAAUGGUCAUCAGUGACCCGUCUUGAAACACGGACC
rnacentral:rRNA from 1 species